GAUGAACGCUGGCGGCGUGCCUAAUACAUGCAAGUCGAGCGAACGGACGAGAAGCUUGCUUCUCUGAUGUUAGCGGCGGACGGGUGAGUAACACGUGGAUAACCUACCUAUAAGACUGGGAUAACUUCGGGAAACCGGAGCUAAUACCGGAUGAUAUUUUGAACCGCAUGGUUCAAAAGUGAAAGACGGUCUUGCUGUCACUUAUAGAUGGAUCCGCGCUGCAUUAGCUAGUUGGUAAGGUAACGGCUUACCAAGGCAACGAUGCAUAGCCGACCUGAGAGGGUGAUCGGCCACACUGGAACUGAGACACGGUCCAGACUCCUACGGGAGGCAGCAGUAGGGAAUCUUCCGCAAUGGUCGAAAGCCUGACGGAGCAACGCCGCGUGAGUGAUGAAGGUCUUCGGAUCGUAAAACUCUGUUAUGAGGGAAGAACAUAUGUGUAAGUAACUGUGCACAUCUUGACGGUACCUAAUCAGAAAGCCACGGCUAACUACGUG
rnacentral:rRNA from 1 species